rnacentral:rRNA from 1 species
UAAGGAAUAUUGCGCAAUGGGGGAAACCCUGACGCAGCAACGCCGCGUGGAGGAUGACACUUUUCGGAGCGUAAACUCCUUUUAUCAGGAAAGAAUAAUGACGGUACCUGAUGAAUAAGCACCGGCUAACUCCGUGCCAGCAGCCGCGGCAAUACGGGGGGUGCAAGCGUUACUCGGAAUCACUGGGCGUAAAGGACGCGUAGGCGGAUUAUCAAGUCUUUUGUGAAAUCUAGUGGCUUAACCACUAAACUGCUUAGGAAACUGAUAGUCUAGAGUAGGGGAGAGGUAGAUGGAAUUCUUGGUGUAAGAGUAAAAUCCGUAGAGAUCAAGAAGAAUACCCAUUGCGAAAGCGAUCUGCUGGAACCUAACUGACGCUGAGACGUGAAAGCGUGGAUAGCAGACAGG